GACGAACGCUGGCGGCGUGCUUAACACAUGCAAGUCGAACGGAAAGGCCCUGCUUUUGUGGGGUGCUCGAUUGGCGAACGUGUGAUUAACACGUGAGUAACCUUCCCUUUACUUUGGUAUAUCUUCAGGUAACUGGUGCUAAUACCGUAUAUGAGCUCCUGCUGCUUGGUGGUGGUUGGAAAGUUUCGGCGGUUGGGGAUGGACUCGCUGCUUAUCAGCUUGUUGGUGGGGUAGUGGCUUACCAAGGCUUUGACGGUUAGGAGGCCUGAGAGGGUGACCGGCAAAAAGGGGACAGAGAUACGGAAAAGAGUAGUACGGGAGGCAGCAGGGGGGAAGAUGGCACAAAGGGGGGAAGCGUGAUGAAGAAAGGCAGGGAGAGGGAUGAGGGCAUGCGGGUAGUAAAAAGAAAUCGAAUGUGAAGAAGAGUGAGUGACGGUAAUGGGAAAAGAAGCACCGGCUAACUACGUG
rnacentral:rRNA from 1 species